rnacentral:piRNA from 1 species
GGUAGAACUUAGUAGCAGAGGGU